CAGCUUCCCAACGAGUUAUUUUAUGAGCAAGUGAAGCCCUUUAGAAAUGACCAACCUUGAAUUUCAAAAUAUAUUCUUCUUGUCCUCCUUUCUGUGGCUUCUUUCCCAUCUAUAGGCAUCUCAAAACUCUUUGGGAAAGGAUAUCUGUUGGAUAUUUACUUUAUGGUCUGUUUUACUCCAUCUCUGUCCACUCUAUAUGCCAUGGUGACACAGGUCAGUGAAGACACUGCAAGGAAAGAGCCAUCUGAGAAAUCUGGAGAGGACAGAAAGCUGGUGACAACUGUCAAACUGUCAGGAUUACAAAAGACCGUGGUCCCAUUGCAUGACAGAGGUCAGAAUUUACUGACGCCGGCUGUACUUGCUACUGAGAACAAAUUACUAAGAAGUUGGGACUUCCUUGUGGCUCAGCUUUACCUCCAGGAGUGACCAAUAUAGGAGGAGUCAGAAUGUCAUCAUUUUCCAACAUUUUGAACCUCAACAUCCCUUCAUACAUAAGCUGGGACUUCCAAUGGGCAGGCAGCGUGCAAUGUUGACCUUCACUUCAGCAUGAGCUUCUUAUGUGUACUAUGUACUUUCACUGAAAAAAGGGCCUUUGGAAGAGAUGAGUGCUUGUUUUAUGAAAAACUUAGUAGAGAUUAAUCCUUUAAAUGCUCUAAUUAUAGCUAUUUAAGUAUAAGGUAUCUAAACUAAGCUUAUCACCUUCAGAGAGACAACAGCUGACCUUAUAGGCAAAAGAUGAGCACCUGCAAUUAGCAAGUGAUCACUUCCUGAGAUGGGCAGGUCUAAUUAUCUUUUCUGAGAACCUUGUUCUCUCCACUCAUUAUAAAAAGAUAGCCUAAACAAUCUGGUCAUAUCACGUGCUUAACUUUCAGAAGGCUAAAGUAGAUGAGGUAAAUCCUACCUUUAUCCAAGGAGUGUCUAACUUGGGGUUAAUGCCUGCUAGCAAUUGCUGCUCAUCACCAGGCUGCUAAGCCUCCACAGGCUUAGCAUCUGCAGAAGACCAGUUAAGAAGACCAGAAGAUUUAAAUGACUGCAUAACCCAGGAAGCCAAAAACAACAAAGAAAGCAAAAGGUAGUUUCAGCUUAAGUAGUUGUUACUGUCAGCUGAUAAAGGGAAAAAUGUUUCCUAUCCCUCCUUAGAUUGUUUGUACAUAUGAGAUUAAUUUGGGUAUUAAAUGAUAAUAGUAACAGUAAAACAAUUGUUAAAGCAGGAGCCUUUUCGAGGAUAUAAAAAGUCUUGAUUAGAUAUUCUGAGUAUUGUCUAUUCAAACGACAUUUUCCCAUCUCUUCACUCUUUUACAGGCUACUGAAUUUCAGAGUCAUAACUGGACCCAUCAAAAAUGGGUAUCUGGGACCUCAUUUUCUCUUCUUGUCUCCUCUCAUUUCAAUAUUAAAUAAGAUGUUCUCUCUCAGCCUGUGUUCCGACUCCAAAAGCUCAUCUGCGAAUUUGACUAGGGCUGAAUGGAUUAUUCAAAGCAUGCAUGUUUGCUGCUUUGAAGGGGACUGUUUUGAUUCCAUUCAUUAGAACAAUAGUGAGAAUAGUGUCCAAAUGUACUCGCUGCGACUGCCUGUAAUGCUCUUAUGCAUAUGCAUGGCUACAGUCUUGUAUUGUCAUAUGGACCCUUUGUGUCAGGUCUGAGUCAUUUUGCUCUCACUACAUAAGUUACUGUAGGAGUGCUUUCUCAUUUAUUUUUUCUGUUAUCAAUUUAAACCUUUAAAGGCAAGCAAAUAAAUUCUCUCUGCUGUCAUCUAAAUAUAUAUUA
rnacentral:lncRNA from 1 species